GUAGCUUCUUGGCCUUUUGGCUAAGAUCAAGUGUAGUAUCUGUUCUUAUCAGUGACAUUGAAACCAUGCCAAAGUUUGUGUCAAGGAGUAUUGAACGCAUUAUUUUAUAUUAUAUGGGACUCCUA
ensembl:snRNA U2 U2 spliceosomal RNA